CGGCACCUAUCUUCGGAUAGAAGCGAGUGGCGAACGGCUGAGUAACACGUGGAGAACCUCGCCCCCUCCCCCGGGAUAGCCGCCCGAAAGGACGGGUAAUACCGGAUACCCCGGGGUGCCGCAUGGCACCCCGGCUAAAGCCCCGACGGGAGGGGAUGGCUCCGCGGCCCAUCAGGUAGACGGCGGGGUGACGGCCCACCGUGCCGACAACGGGUAGCCGGGUUGAGAGACCGACCGGCCAGAUUGGGACUGAGACACGGCCCAG
rnacentral:rRNA from 1 species